rnacentral:lncRNA from 1 species
GCAGGCUUCUCUGGAUGCCAGUGUGGACAGAGCACCUGUGUGCGAGCAGAGGAAAUGCUCGUGUCGACCACGACCCUAAAUGCGCAGCUGAGACGCCACUCAGGCACUGAUGGCUGGAGGAAGAUGCCUUUCAGAUGUCUAGGCCAGGCCCAGGCCCUUUGCCCAAAUCCUCCAACCCUACAGGGGCCGCAGACCUCCCUGAUGGCCUGAGUCCUGUCCUGAAAACUCGUUCCCCGGACCGCAUCCCCUGACCUGAACAAACCCCUCUGCCCUGUCCUUGCCUUUGUGGACUUCUGCAGCCUGGGCAGCAUCACUGCCCUCAUUUCUAAAGGCCGCGCCCCCUACCGGCCUGUCUCCUCCACACACCCCGGGGUGAGUUUCCCUCCUCCUGCGUCUUUCCGGGUUUUCGGAGCACGCCAAGCCACAGUUUCGGAAGGAGGCUGCCACGCUGUUCUCCUGCACCGCGGCGACCCCUCUGCUCCUCUCCCAGACCCUCCUGCAUCUGAGGACACAGCUGCCACAGUGGGGGCCACGGCGGGCGCCAGCCGGGUCCUGCAGCCGGGUGUGACGGCAAGACUCCAGGAGCCCCAGCACAGCCAGCUUCCGGACUUCCGUGCCCUCUCCGUGGCAGCGUGGGGCAGGGCCCCUCCAGGAGCCGAGUGCCCGGAGGCCGAGGCCAUGACCAUCGUCCGGAGGGAGAGGAGGGUUUGUCGCCGGGUUCCCUUGCCCUGCGGUGCUGCAGAGAGGAAGGCGGUUUUCAUGGGAUGCGGGAAGCCGAGUUUGGAUCCAUGCUGCCUGCUCUGCCCUCUCCACCCCCUGCCAGGACAGCAAGCAUAGGCUGUGUGAGACGCACACAUGCCUGAGUCUGGUCUCCAUGGCUUCUGUGGGGCACAUUUGGCCACUGGGUGAUUGGAAGGCACAGUGACUCCAGUCUCUACCAGAUUCUUCCAAGCUAAAGUGCCCAGAAAAACUAAAGGUCCAGAGGCAAGCAGGGGACACCUGUGGGGCACACGUGAGCAGGAAUGCAUGGGACUGACGGUGCCUUUGCACAGACAAAAUCUGUGGUGAGACACACCAAAUGGGAAAAAUAAACACUGUGCAUUUAUAAAAGAUUCAUGAGAUCAAAUAAUCGAACUACUCAAGUACCACAAAACAUAGCCUUGAAAAUAUACACUAUGGUUAAUCAACAAG